UUUGAUUGUGAUAUGCAACCUCAUUGCAAAAUUAAACAUGAAUUAAGAAGUUACCGAACAAAGACAGAAGCCUAGAAUGACAUGAUGUACUUAGUCAAGUUCUCAAGUGAAUGGUAAGAAGAGCCUCCAUGGCUUACACAAAGGUUCACCUUCUCUUUCAAAGACACAAUUCUCUGUCUCAUCCCCUGCCCUUUUGUCUCUACCAUUAGUCCUUUAAUUGCCCUCUCUAUCUCCCUUCUCUCGAGUUUAUUAUACUCCAAGUGUAUCCCAAUUUUCCAAACAUCACUGACAUACCUAGCAUUUACUCUUUGAUCACCAGAAAAAGGCUGACAAAUCAUGGGAACCCCUUCACAUAUACUUUCCAAUGUGGAAUUCCAACCAUUGUGUGUCCAAAACCCUCCAGUGGCAGGGUGUGCUAGCACCUGUUGUUGAGGAGCCCAUUUCACGAUAUAGCCCCUUUUACCCACCAUCUCAAGGAAUCCAUCCGGCAAGGAUUCGGACGAUUCCGAUCCCCGAACUAAUCCAGGUCGAACCACCCACAAGAAGGGUUGAUUGCUAUGGAGUAGCCCCCAGGCCAUCUCCAGAAAUUCAGUCUCAUUUACCGCAGCAAGGCUCCCGAAGCUGACAUAGAGUACAGAAUUAGGAGUCUGGGUAUCAAGCCAGGAAAUGCAGCUUUGGUCUGGUGUUAUUAAGCUACUUGAAGCUGGAAAGUACUUGUGAAAUGGACCUAUGUGAAAUAUUGGCACAGUAAAGACCUGGCUUAAUUUGCUCAGAGCAUCACGCUCAAUUUCUUCAAACGAGUUCCAAAUUAGGCCUGAACAGGCUUUUGCUUGAUUACUUAUCUUUUCAAACUGUUGAUGAAGAGUCGCUGGAAAUCGUGUUUUGAUCACAGGAAGAUCUUUGACUUUCAACGGUGGAAGCUCUUGCACUGAUUCUUCUAAUCGAGAAUCUGAAGAGAGAGAAGGAUGGAGGAAAUGAGAAGUGCUUAGUUAAUGUUUUCAAUUAAUAUAUUAAAAAAUUGCAUACACAGAGACAUAAAGAAGAUAAAGCACCUUGAAUUGGGAAGUAACCCCUUUCUAGCAGAAGGGGGAAGGAGUCAAAAGCAAGAAAAGAACUGAUACUAGUUGUCCGCAUGGCAAUAGUUGGAAUCUUAAAGCCCUCGGCUACAGCGUGAGUGAAGUGCCAAACAGCAUCUGUGAUCAAGCAAGCAACGGGCUCUUGAUCCACGGCAUCCAAUAACAGCUUAGCCAGGCAAUCUCGAAAGGGCUCAACACACUUUGAAUUGAGGACUGAGAAACGGAUUACACCAUCUGCAGUUGAAGCCUCAUCUUCCAACAAGCCAUCAGGAAUUGCAUGGAAAGUGAAGUGAGGACACUUUGAAGGAUUGGGAGCAUUGAAUUGAGUGUGGAUGAUUGUUAUGGAAAAUCCUUUAGAAUAAAGGAUAUUAGCAAGCUGAAUCAUAGGAUUGAUAUGCCCUUCCAAAGGCGGUGGGAAGAGUAUAAUUCGCCGACACUUCCUAUGCUGCACAUGGGACUCUCUUAUAUUCUCCAUGGAAUUGAUUUGUUUCCCCUGGUUUCUUCCUGGCUUCUCGAUUCUGAUAUUGGAUGCGUAGAUGAAAAACGGAGGUUUAAACCACGUUUCGAAACAAGUUACCCUGACCCGAUUUUAUGCGAGUUUGACCGGGUUUGACCGAUUUUACUGGUUUUCGAGUUUUAAACCCGAUUUUACACGUUUUAUGUUUUUUAACUCGUAAAAUCGUCAAUUUUACAAGUGAAAACUCGUUUUUAACAACCAUGAAUGGCAUGCUCAUGCUUCAUAUGACUUUUGGGCUUUUUCCUAAACAGGGAAAAAAUCUGUUUGUUCAAUAACGAGACGGGCCGGGCUCUCAGGUUCGACGCAAGCUCCUCAAAGGCUUGCCUUGGAGAGAAAUCCAGCUAGUUUUGUGCCUUGUGAUUAAUCCUGGUUAAGCAGCUUCGAAACUGCGAGGAGUUCACCUGAAGAGAUGACAUUAAACAGGUAUUUGUAGGGUUACUUGUUUUGCCCGUGUACUCUUUUUUAUAAAACAAAAAAAUUGUUCCCUUUUAAAAAAUUCGAAAUGUAUAUAAAAUUUACUUGCUAAUCACAAAAAACUAUUUUUCAUGUCAACUAUAAAUAAAAAUUUAAAGGUGAACUUAUUAUUUUUUCAUUAAAAAAUAUAAAUCAUUAUAAUGCAAUAAUUGUAUAACUUUUAUGAGCAUAGAGACUCCUUCACAUAUAUUCUCCAACUUGGAAUUCUAACCAUUGUGCGUCCAAAAACCUUCGGUGGUAGGGUGUGCUAGCACCUCUUGUUGGGAAGCGCAUUUGAUAAUAUGCCUCCUUCCACCAACCAUCUCCAAGAAACCAUUUGGCAAUGUUGCAAGCCAGUUUAAGCCUUGGGUAAAUCCGCCGGACCACCCAUAAGAAAGGUUGAUAGCUACUGGCUAGCCCCCAAACCAUCUUCAGAAAUUCAGACUCAUUUACAGUUGCAAUGCUUCCAAAGACAUAGAGAACAAAAUUAGGGGCUUGGGUAUCUAGCCAAGAAAUGCAUCUUUUUUCCUGUGUGGGUAAGCUACUUGACGAGGCUGGGAAGUACUUAUGAAAUUUACAUAUAUAUCGCGGAGAUGGGGAUGGAGAAAUCUCUGCGUAAUAUUGUUAAUACUCUUCAAACGAAUUCCAUAUUAGUCUCAAAGAGGCCUUUGCUUGAUUUACCAUCCCGUUCAUUAAUUGAUGAAGGAGUCCCAGAUCAAGCAUUUUAAUUAUAGGAAGAUCUUUGAAUUUCAACGGUGAAAGCUCUUGGACUGGUGCUUCUAGCUGAGAAUCUGAGAGAGAGAGAGAGAGAAAUGAAGAAUAUAACAUUCUCGCAUUAGGUUUUCCAAAACCUCAUUGAAGCAAACCAUCAAACAUGCUACAAGCACGCGUACAUAAGCCACACAGAGAGAGAAAGGCACCUUGAACCGGGAAGUAACCCUUUCCAAGCAAAUGCGAGAAGAAAGCAAAUACAAGAAACUGAAUAUCAAUUAUUGAGAGUUUAAAGCCUUCAGCUACAGCUUUAGGGAAAAGCCAAGAGACAUAUGUGAUUAAACAAGCAAUAGGCUCCUCCAAGACAUUAAUAUUAACAACAACUUCGAUAAGCAAUCUCGAAAGGGAUCAACACAGUUGAUAUUCUUGUCACCGAUAAAUUAAUAUUAACCCAGCCUUCGGUGUUCCGCCUAUGUGAUCACUUUCUAUCGAGUCCUGAGACAAUAUGCUUUAUCAAUUAGGUCUCAAAUAUUUUAAAUGAUUCUCAAUUCUAUCCUUUUUUUCAAAGUUUGUUAAUACUUUUCAUCUAAAAUGCUUACUUUAUGCAAUAUAAAAGGGGGGAUUAUCUUAACUUAUCAUUUUAUUUCAUCUCUUCUUGAUCAAUUGUCUCUAGAAGUCUAAUUACUCCAGGUUUAUCUUUAUAUUCUCUAUUAUUCUCUUAUAUGAGCUUGUGAAAGUGCUCUCACUUAGAGAACUGAAACCCCGUUGAAUUUAUUAAACAGAUAAUUUAAAAAAAUGAAUUGGUGUUAAGAAAUUCAUCAUUAUUUUAUUUAAUAAAUUAAAUUAGGUUUCAAUUUUUCAUGGGAGGAUGUUUUCAUCAAUUUAGAUAAAAAUAUCUUAUAUAAGAAAAGAUUGAAGAAUUAAUCGAUAUUUAGGGACAAAUUGAAAAAUAUACGAAACAUUUAGAAUCUAACUGCUAAAAUUAUUUGUUUAGGGAUUGAAUUGAUAAUUGCUUGUGACCUUAGAGUCUAGUUUGAGGAUGCCAAAACAAUAGGCUCUGAUGAUAAAAUAUGACUACCCCAGCUAUCCAGUGAUCGGCAUGAAGAGCCAACCUGGCUGUGGAUAAGGAUUUGCCUUCUCUUUUCAAGCUCCAUAUUCGUUUUUUUUGUUUUUUUUGUUUUUUAAUAAUUUUAAACAAGCCCAAACAGCAACUAUUAGUUACUUGUUGUUGUUUGGGCCAUAAAGCCCAUAAAACAACAACAUUUUGCACUGUGUUGGAUCGUGCUCAAACAGUAAUUCCCACACCGCUUGGGCCCCGAUCCAGCCAGCUACAUCAUUACACAGAAACCAAUCCUAAGAGUUGUAUUUAAGUUGUUAAAGAUAUAAUGGCACAGUAAGUAACUGGAAAAAAUAAUAUUUUUUAAAUGAAUGAAUUAGUUGAUUUAUAUUGAGAUAUUCUGUUUAUUAAUUCAAAAUUUAAAAUUUUUAUUUAUAUUAUUGAGUUAAAUAUAAUAUUUAAUAUUAGUGGACAUAAAAAAAAAAAAGGAGAUUUCAAAAAUGGGUCCCAGAUAUCUAGUGAAAAAGGGUCAAAGACGUUGCCCCUUCGACCACCACCUAACAGACUCGAAGCCUUUUCUAAUCCUUGAUUAAGAAAGAAAAAGGGUUUCCGAGAGGCUUGCUUUUUCUCGCUGUAGUUUUUGUUCUUCUGCUAGAUGCGAGUGAUGGGGAAGAGAGAGAGUUUUUCUAAAAUGGAGCCUUUUUUACUAUCGCGUGGAUGCUAUUUAGAGAAAGAGUUAACCAUUUCUAUAAACUAUUCGGGUAGAUUUUGAAGAAAUAUCCUAAAUCAAAGCCUAACCAUUUGUACGUACUAACUCUUAAUUUUGUUUUGUUUCUAAUAUUGACUUUGUGAAUGCAGAUAAUUGCAAACCCUCGUUUCAGCAGUUGACAAUUUGGCAUUCAUAUGAAUAAAUUAAUAAUUUCUUAAGGUAAAAACUAUUUGUGCUCCAUGAUGACUUUCCUUUCCAAGAUAUUUAAAUUCUCUCAAUCUGGACGGAUGGAUUUUUACUCUUUUUAUUCUUUAUAAUUUCCAAUGUUUUUAAACUAAAUUGGAUUAUAACUCUCAUCGUGUUUUUUCCUCUAAUCCUUCUUAUAUUUAUCCCUUCUGACAAAAGUAGCCUUAUUUUCCACCUUGAGAAGCUAGCUUUUCCUACCAACAUCUUGUAAAAAAAAUUAAUUUUUGUUUGAAAUAUAUAUCAUUUUGAAAUAUAUUUUUUAUAUAUUUUUAACAUGUGCACAUGAACACUAACACUAACAAAAUGAUGAUUUAAGUCUUUAUCUGUCUCUAUCAAUCAUUAGUAUUUAAACUUUGAGGUGAAAUCAAAUCACAAUAAAAAUCGAAAGUUUUUUGAAAUUAAUGAUAAGUUAAUCUUUUCGCUCAAGGCUUCAAGCAAUCGUUUAAUGUUUCCUAAUAACAUCAUUCCACCACGAAGAAGAAAGGAAGAGUAUAAAGAGAGGGAGCAGAUUAAAAUUUACAAAACCUUAUAUUUUCUCAGUGAGCCCCUCAAUGCUCGAGAGAUAUAUCAAUUUGAUAUUUCCGAGUAAAUGGAUUCUGGAAGAAAGCUAAAUGAAAUGCUUCUUUGUCCAUAGUAACUGAAAGGUCUGUUGAACUACAAGAGCUAAUUAACCAUUAACACUUGCGGGAUUAGGAAGGAUUAAUUGAAUUACUCUUGAUGUUCAUGUAAUCGGUCAUUUUUCUCUCGUCCACAGCUCGGCCAAGAAAAGCACUUCACAUUGGAAUUUUUUUUUCCCUUUCUGAGAAGGUAAUCAUUUUUUAAACUUGACAAUCAAAAUUGAUAAAUUUGAUUGUCAAGUUUAAAUUUGAAACUCUAGAGGGACAAUCAAAAUUGACCCAAUCCUUCAAGAGGUUAAAUUAUUGAUUUAAUUUUUGGAGGCUGGCAAGUACUUGUGAAAUGGACCUUUGUGUAAAUAGGGAUAGGAAAGUCCUGGCAUGAUAUGGCAAGAGCAUCUUGCUCGAGCUCCUCGAAAGAGUUCCCGAUGAGUCCUGGUGAAGCCUUGCUUUCGUUUAUCAAUCCGGCUACCAGACAGUGAUAUUCUUCUGCGUCCUGUGUUUCAAUUUCUGGAAGAUCUUUAGCUUUAAGCGGGGAAUCUCUGUAAUUGGUUCUUCUAGUUGAAGAAUCUAAGGUAAAAAAAUAAAAUAAAAUAAAAGGUAAGAAACUAAAAGAGAGGAGACAAGAAUGAGCUUUUGUGUUUGCUUACAUGAGUUCAGAUUUAUACAGUUCUCUUAUGGAUUUAUGCAGAGAGAGUUGAUACGAUGCCAAUAUAUAGAAAGUAGUUCUAAAAGUAUGAUUUGGGAACAUAUUGGUAAAACAGAGCAUGAAAGAACAGAGAUGAGAUAGAGAGCCAAGUAUAAAAUUUAUCACAUCUACUCGUACCAGCUUAUAACCCUGCCUGCUGCAAUUCAAAUACGAGUAGCAUUUCAUCUAAACUUUGCUUCUCAUAGCAACUUUUUCCCUUGUAUCUGCAGCAGGAUCUUAGGGUUUACGACUUAGAAAUUCAGACACUGAUGGCUGAUAGCUGGUUGAGGUACCUGUUGCUUUAGGUAACUAAUAAUAGCAUUAGGAAGCAGAUCAGAAAAGACUGCUAGCUUCUUGGAAUUUAGCUGUGCAAAAUAUAUAAGAUGCAACUCAAAAAAACAAAAUCAGGGUAGUCUCAGAUUUUUUAGCUUCAAGAUUGCACCCAAAAACUACACAAGAUUACUGGGGCUUAUAUGAAAAAUACUAACAUAAGCACAAUCGAACCCCAUUCUGGCAAUGUUUUGCUUCCUUAAAUCACUUAAUGCAGGCAUAUAAAUAUCUAUCCACAGAACAGACACAAUUUGGAGCAUCACCAUUGCCGACAAUGCUCGAAUUAAAACAAAAGAAAAGAGAGUAGACAAGGACGAUUGCAUUCUAGCCCAAAAACUGCAAUUUUGUGUUUCACUGUGAUCAAGAAAACCUAGGAAAAUGUAUAUACAAAAAGUUUUAUGGCAUAUGCAUGAUUGGCACAGGACAAGAAUUGCAUUUGAAUGGAUUUCAAUCAACUAAUAUUCUAGUAUUGCUUUUUAGCAUCUUUCUCAGCUUAUCACAUAUUUGUUUUUAGUUAUCAUACCAUUGGACUUCAUUGACUAGGAAUAAUUUGCACAGACACAUAACAAAGCUGUGAAUAGUAUGCACGCACCUUGAUACUAAAAGAACCCCUUUCUCGCAGAAGUGGCAAAGCAGCAAAAACAAGUAAAAUGUCACUGGUUCGUAGCACAAUCCUUUGAAGUUUAAUGCCAUCAGCAACAGCUUCAGUGAAGUGCCAGUUGGCAUCUGAGAUUAAAGCAAGCAAUUGGCUCGUUCUCAACGUCGAAUAAUAACAUGGUCAAACUAUCACUAAAUGGUUUAACACAGUUGAUAUUGAGGAGUGUCAUGAAAUGCAUGACAUCUGCCGAUCAAAGCCUCAUGUUCCAAGAAGCCAUCAGGAAUCGAGUAGAAGGUGAAAUGAGGGAAGUUCCAAGCAUGUGAAGAGUUGAAGUGUGGAUUAUGAUGAUGGACAACCCUUUAGAAUACAGGAAGUUUGCAAGCUGAGCAUGGGUUUUAUGUGACGUUGUAGUGGUAUGGAAAGCGAAUAAGCGAGCAGCCGACGCCCUCCCUUAGUGGCAUAUAAGAUUCUUUUAGGCUCUCCAUGUAACUCGUUAAUUCACCUGGAUACCACUGAUUUACUCUCUGAUUUAUUUAUACAAUACUAGAAGGUGUCAUUAGCUCAUAAAUGUAGGGGUUUGUUACUCUCGUCAAAUAAAGUCAUUUGGCUUCAAAUGAGGACAAUCAUAUCAUGAGAUUUCCUUCGAAUAAAUAAUCAUAUAAUUCAAGAAAACCUGCAUGAAGCUGUCAAGAAAUGGGAUGGAAUGAAAAAUGUAAUGAUAGAAUAAGAAAGGGAUAAUUUAAGACUCAAAGAUUCACUCACUUGAGAAGGAAUCACUCACUUCUUUAAUGGUUGUUUAGGGAAUCGCUCACCUAAAGAUUGCUAUUAGCGUUCCACCACAAUUCCUCAAAUAACAAGAUUUUAUAGUAAACAAGCAUACAUAGCUAAUCUAAACUCAAAUAAAUAUUCAGCAAGCUUUUCAUUCUUCAAGAUUGACCAUCUUGGAACCAACUAUGUUGGACUAGUAAUAAUUAUUGUUUGGCUAGGCUGUAUCACUGCAAAAAUCCUUGACACUCUUCAAUGGAAAAUUUGCAACAUCUCGGUAUAUAAAUGGAAGGAAUAAAAAUUCAUGCAUACACAGCUCAUCAGUUCACUUUCAGCUUUGUCUUGAUUAUUCCAAAAGGCAAAAACUAUGCAAGAAUCAUAGGAAAUAUGUUUUGGUGAUUGUUUCUGCUCUGAAAUUUGAAAUGCAAAUCUUCCACAUGAUACUGUUAGUGGAAGUAUAUUUAAUAACACGCAUACCAAGACAUUGAACAAAAUCCUCCAGCUAAAGUCAGGUCUUGCAGAAUGAGUUAUGAGACAGCAAUCAAAUUCCAUUUUACAUCAAACGAACAGAAAUAACAGGAUAAAUUUGAAAACUUCAAGUACCGUGAAUGCAAUAAACAUAGACUCAAGGCUUUGAUUGUGAUAUGCAACCUCAUUGCAAAAUUAAACAUGAAUUAAGAAGUUACCGAACACCGAGAGAAGCCUAGAAUGACAUGAUGUAAUUAGUCAAGGUCUCAAGGGAAUGGUAAGAAGAGCCUCCAUGGCUUACACAAAGGUUCGCCUUCUCUUUCAAAGACACAGUUCUCUGUCUCAUCCCCUGCCCUUUUGUCUCUACCAUUAGUCCUUUAAUUGCCCUCUCUAUCUCCCUUCUCUCGAGUUUAUUAUACUCCAAGUGUAUCCCAAUUUUCCAAACAUCAC
rnacentral:lncRNA from 1 species